CGGGGGGGGCAAGCGUUGUUCGGAAUUACUGGGCGUAAAGGGCUCGUAGGCGGCCAACUAAGUCAGACGUGAAAUCCCUCGGCUUAACCGGGGAACUGCGUCUGAUACUGGAUGGCUUGAGUUUGGGAGAGGGAUGCGGAAUUCCAGGUGUAGCGGUGAAAUGCGUAGAUAUCUGGAGGAACACCGGUGGCGAAGGCGGCAUCCUGGACCAACACUGACGCUGAGUGAGCGAAAGCCAGGGGAGCAAACGGGAUUAGAUACCCCGGUAGUCCUGGCCCUAAACGAAGAAUGCUUGGUGUGGCGGGUAUCGAUCCCUGCCGUGCCGAAGCUAACGCAUUAAGCAUUCCGCCUGGGGAGUACGGUCGCAAGGCUG
rnacentral:rRNA from 1 species